rnacentral:snRNA from 1 species
CAUUUUUAGUGUACAAAUGUAUA